rnacentral:misc_RNA from 1 species
GAUGAAGAACGUAGCGAAAUGCGAUAAGUAAUGCGAAUUGCAGAAUUCAGUGAGUCAUCGAAUCUUUGAACGCACAUUGCGCCCUGUGGUAUUCCGCAGGGCAUGCCUGUUCGAGCGUCAUUUCAACCCUCAAGCCUCGCUUGGUGUUGGGCCCUGCCCGCCGCGGCCGGCCCUAAAGAUAGUGGCGGCGCCGCCUGGCCCUCAGCGUAGUACAGCUCUCGCUCCAGGGUCCGGCGGCAGCCUGCCAGAACCCCCCAACUCUGUGGUUGACCUCGGAUCAGGUAGGGAUACACGCUGAACUUAAGCAUAUCAAUAAGCGGAGGA